rnacentral:rRNA from 1 species
GUCCUAGCCGUAAACGGUGUGCACUUGGUGUGGGAGGAUUUAUCCCCUUCCGUGCCGAAGCUAACGCGUUAAGUGCACCGCCUGGGGAGUACGGCCGCAAGGCUAAAACUCAAAGAAAUUGACGGGGCCCGCACAAGCGGUGGAGCAUGUGGCUUAAUUCGAUGCAACGCGAAGAACCUUACCAAGGCUUGACAUGCAAUUGCACGCCCAGCGAAAGCUGGGCUCCUUCGAGGGUAUUGCACAGGUGCUGCAUGGCUGUCGU